CCACACAGUAAACGAUGAAUACUCGCUGUUGGCGAUAUACAGUCAGCGGCCAAGCGAAAGCAUUAAGUAUUCCACCUGGGGAGUACGCCGGCAACGGUGAAACUCAAAGGAAUUGACGGGGGCCCGCACAAGCGGAGGAACAUGUGGUUUAAUUCGAUGAUACGCGAGGAACCUUACCCGGGCUUAAAUUGCAACUGACGGAAUCGGAAACGGUUCUUUCUUCGGACAGUUGUGAAGGUGCUGCAUGGUUGU
rnacentral:rRNA from 1 species